UAACACCCGGAACAGUAGGAUCAUUUCUAUAGGAAUCGUCACUCUUUGACUCUUCAAAAGAGCCACUGAAUCCAACUUGGUUGAUGAGUCUGAGAACCUUCGCACCCAAGAGUGAGACUCAACAUGUUAUUAGCUUGGUCCACAAUCCUUAGCGGUUUGGCCAUCUACUUUUUUGUUUUGCCUUUUGCUUGAGAACUGUUAAACCUUUUGGUUUUUCGGAACUCGUUUUAAAAAGGCGCGAUGAUCUUUGCCCAGCUAAUGUCCUUCUUCGUGAGGGGCUGAGCAUAUUGGGUGGGUGCGAAUGGCAGUCUGACAAGU
rnacentral:snoRNA from 1 species